AGAGUUAUUAGCGAUGGUGAUUUUUGUUAUCAGUGAUGGUUGUCUGUCGCUAAUAAGUUAAAUCCCUAUUAGCAAUGGCUUUAGCGACACAAUUUAUCCAUCGCUAAUAAUAAGUCCUAAACACCCCCCCUCGAUCCCCAACGGGCUCAUAGAAGCCCCCACUGCCUCUCCUUUCUCCCUCCCUAACUCCCUUUUCUCCCCUUUCUCCAAUGCCUUUCUCCCAUGCUGCACCGUCGGAGCCCCCGACCUCCUCCCCCCAAUCUCGCACUGUCGUCCCCACCUC
rnacentral:lncRNA from 1 species